GUGAGUCAUCGAAUCUUUGAACGCACCUUGCGCUCCUUGGUAUUCCGAGGAGCAUGCCUGUUUGAGUGUCUUGAAGUCAUCAACCCCUACCGUUUCGUGCGGUCUGCGUGUUGGAGCUGGGGGCUUGCUGCCGAGAGGUGGCUCCCCUCAAAUGCAUCGGUUGGGCCUGUGGGUCGAACUCGAUUGGGCGUUGUAUUAUCCUCACUUUAACGAGAUGUUCCCCUCUUUUGUGCCCCUCCACGACCUGCCUUGAUCGAGUGGCUGGUCAAGCAAACUUGAAAUUCUGACCUCAAAUCAGGUAGGACUACCCGCUGAACUUAAGCAUAUCAAUAAGGCGAGG
rnacentral:rRNA from 1 species